CGGACGGGUGAGUAAUGUCUGGGAAACUGCCCGAUGGAGGGGGAUAACUACUGGAAACGGUAGCUAAUACCGCAUAACGUCGCAAGACCAAAGAGGGGGACCUUAGGGCCUCUUGCCAUCGGAUGUGCCCAGAUGGGAUUAGCUAGUAGGUGGGGUAACGGCUCACCUAGGCGACGAUCCCUAGCUGGUCUGAGAGGAUGACCAGCCACACUGGGACUGAGACACGGCCCAG
rnacentral:rRNA from 1 species